rnacentral:rRNA from 1 species
GGGAAACUUACCAGGUCCAGACAUUGUUAGGAUUGACAGAUUGAGAGCUCUUUCUUGAUUCUAUGGGAGGUGGUGCAUGGCCGUUCUUAGUUGGUGGAGUGAUUUGUCUGGUUAAUUCCGUUAACGAACGAGACCCCCGCCUGCUAAAUAGGUCCGUGAAUGAAUUUCAUUGACGAGAUCUUCUUAGAGGGACUUUUGGUGACUAACCAAAGGAAGUUGGGGGCAAUAA